rnacentral:misc_RNA from 1 species
GAUGAAGAACGCAGCGAAAUGCGAUAAGUAGUGUGAAUUGCAGAAUUCAGUGAAUCAUCGAAUCUUUGAACGCACAUUGCGCCCCUUGGUAUUCCAUGGGGCAUGCCUGUUCGAGCGUCAUUUGUACCCUCCAGCCCUGCUGGGUAUUGGGCGUUUUGUUCCGCUACGCGCAUGAACUCGCCUCAAAUGCAUUGGCAGCCCGCCGUCCCGUGUGGGAGCGCAGCACAUUUUGCGCUCUCCGCUGCUGACGGUGGCAUCCACAAGUCUACCAUUUUACGCUUGACCUCGGAUCAGGUAGGGAUACCCGCUGAACUUAAGCAUAUCAAUAAGCGGAGGA